AUGUCCAGGGUUGGUCCACCGUCAGCUCACAGGAUGACACGAGAGGACAUGUCCACCGUCAGCUCACAGGAGAGGACAUGUCCAGCGUCAGCUCACAGGGCAGGAGAGGACAUGUCCAGGGUUCAGGGAAAACAUGACAUGCCAGUUCCUCACUGCCAGAAGGCCCUCAACGCUGGACACUCCCCUCAACGCUGGACACUCCCCUCAACCCUGGACACGCCCCUCAACCCUGGACACUCCCCUCAACCCUGGACACUCCCCUCAACCCUGGACACGCCCCUCAACCCUGGGCACUCCCCUCAACCCUGGGCACUCCCCUCAACGCUGGACACUCCCCUCAACGCUGGACUGCCAGACAACAACCAGGCGUCCACAACUGCGGAAGGCCACGAACUAAAUUGGAGGCCAUCUUGGAAAAUGGCGGCCAUUUUGGAAAUUGAGUAGGCGGAAGGCCCUUGCCUUACUUCUAAUCCUCCAG
rnacentral:lncRNA from 1 species